UACAGAGGUCUCAAGCGUUGUUCGGAUUCAUUGGGCGUAAAGGGUGCGUAGGCGGCGCGGUAAGUCGGGUGUGAAAUCUCGGAGCUUAACUCCGAAACUGCAUUCGAUACUGCCGUGCUUGAGGACUGGAGAGGAGACUGGAAUUUACGGGUGUAGCGGUGAAAUGCGUAGAUAUCGUAAGGAAGACCAGUGGCGAAGGCGGGUCUCUGGACAGUUCCUGACGUGAGGCACGAAGGUCGGGGAGCAAACGGG
rnacentral:rRNA from 1 species